GUUUUUGUAGUUGAGUAACAACGGUGGUUUUUCAAGCCAUUAGUCUUGGUUAGAGUCCGAGCAAGAACU
rnacentral:tRNA from 1 species